UCACUCAGAUCAUUUGAGAGAACAGACCCUUUUCCAGACAUUUCAUCUUUUUUUAAAGCUUUCAUUUUGUAUCAAAAUGUUGUCAUAGGCUUAACCUUUUAUACCCUCCAUAAUAUGCUCGGCUGUUUAUUAGGCUACCUACAUAUUUUCACUUUCUCUCUCUCCCUCGUUUCCUGUAUCUCAUUGAAUAUGUGUGUGUCUCAACAAGCCUUAAUUUCCCCGUUCUUUCUCUACUUCUUUCAAUCAUCACCAAGGGCAAGGCAAAUGACGGAAUAAAUAGAUGCGUCAAACCCCUUUCAAACCUAUUUGCAAAGACAACACUUUAAAUCAAGCCAACAGUUCGUUCAUAUUAAAUAUUUUUUACCAUGAUAUUAUCCCCCAAACAAAGCUUGCUUUGCCCCUGAGCCGCCCAGAAAUGGAACCCUAGAAAUGGCGCCUAACAACAGGACAGCAUUUUUCGUGUGCGACCCAGGCUUCACGCUGAUUGGUCAUUCAGAGGUUACGUGUCAGAAUGGUUCUUGGAGCGAAAAAGCUCCAUCGUGCGUGCUGCGAGUCGUGAUCGAGACUUCAAUAUCCGGAGAAUACAGAACAGAGUCUGAGUUUAUUUUAUGGUGGAUAUUUGUGCUCUUCGUUAGUAUUACAGUCAUCGCUCUCAUCAUCGUCGUCAUUUUCAUUGCAUUUGGAGUGAAAGCGAAAUUGGCAACGCAGGGGGCUGCUUCAUCAGGCCAGCAAUACGACUUAGUGGAGAAUACGUAGCAACUGGUUAACGGGAUGCCGAAUAUAUGUAUUUGUUUUUGUCUCAUGCUUAAAUAACUCACAAUAAAUAUCUACAUUAUGCUGCGCUAAGCUGAGGUCAAGGACCCAAUUUCUGAACGGGAGCGGACUGGUCAUGAGAGGUUUGGGGAGUUCUUCCCACGGGCCGGUUGAUAUUUUGUAAUAGGAUUUACGGUCUGAUGGCCGGUUAAUACAUAUCCUAGAGUUUUAGUAGGUUCGUCACAUCGUACUCCCCUGGCAAACUUCAGUCCCAUACCUCUCCUGGUUUUAAAUUACUCACAACCUUAGGGAAAACAUCAAAAUGCUUUACGUCUUGAUUAUCACACUGCUAUUAAUGCAAUAUUUGCAUGCGAUUUGCGGUGACAUCUUAGCUUACCCGAAGACACCGAGACCGAAAUGAAAUAAGGGUCACUUAUUGCAUUUUGUUUCUUUAUGUUUCGGUCUCUGGAUCUUCUGACGGGCUGUAACAAGAUCCGCGAAGUGGCUGUCGGUCUCGUAAAAUUUCAGAAACUAAGGAGGUCAGUGAAAAUAACUUCUUGACUUCAGGGGUCUCUGAUCUCGCGGACCUUUUUGCUUAACGAAAUACAGCCGCGCCCAUCAUUAUAGUUUCCUCUCCGGCAAUAUGCUUUUGCUCAUGUUACAGCUCAAUGGCGUAUCUAGGGGGGUGUUGUGGGUUUUCAAACGACCCCCCCCCCCCCCCGUUGGCAAACAGGGGGUGUUUUAGGUGUUCACCAAUUUAGGUGUUUAAACAAUUAGUGCUACCCCCCCCCCCCCCGCUCAUUCGCCGGCUGGCUGAUUCACCGCUUAAUAUUUUCUCACGAAUUGGGCAAAUAAACACCUACCCUUACAAAAUCCUGGAUACGCCCUUGUAACAGCUUAGCGUAUAAUAACUCUCUUGAGAAAAAUGGGAAGAUUGUACAAUAUUUUAUUAUUUAUUUGUUUUAGGGGUAUUAUUUAAAGAAAUGAAGUAAACAUUAUGUGGGCAAUUUGAAAUAGUUUGGACAUUUUUACUAUUAAGUAUUAAAGUGUGACAUAAUAAUAAGUAUUAAAGUGUCACAUAAUAAUAAGUAUUUGAGUGUGACAUGAUAAUAAGUUUGUUCAAUACAACUGAAAAUUGAGUUUUGGUACCAGGUAUUUAACGAGCUUUUAGUAAUACAUGUAUAAUUUAUGGCCAGCACGCAAUUGUUUAUAACGGCGAGAGAGAAAAAAAAACACUAGUCUUUAUUUCCAUUAAUUGCUGGAGAAUUAAAUUUGAAUGGGGCUCCCAUAACCCGUGUGUCUAGAUAGACACCUCCAAGUUACCUCCCCGAAAAAAAAAUCUACCUUUUAAAAUUCAUUCGGUUAUAUAUACACAGAUAAAACGUUGUUUAAAUGCUAACAGUUCAUUACAAUACAACAGCUUGUUGAAUUUUUUAAACAGGUCUUAUUACUUGUAAACAACCCUUUUAAACGGUGUUUUGCAUAAUGAUCCAUUCCAAACAUAAUUAGACACGAACUCAAGCUAAGCUAAAAUAAAUUAGUUUAGCCGCAGAGGGAGCGAAACAAGUAUGACGAAUCUUUAAAUGGGUUGAAUAUUAAUCGCGGUUUUUCUGGCUUGAAAAAAGACGUCACGGUCUUCGGACACACACAAUGCUGCUUUUCGCGGGCAAAUCGCGCAUCCGGGAUUAACUCAAUACAGUCUCAGGUUAAAAAGCUGCAGCUUCUCGUACAUGAGAAUUAAUCCAAGGCGCCUUUUAAACUCGGCUAAGUGAUAUCAAUAUCAUAUUUUACAUUAUUACUUAGCCCAUAAGGCUAAGUAUAGACACCAAAUCCACCUUUCCAAGAUAGAUAUACACGAAUCACGAUUUACUAAUAUUUUAAGGUAGCUUACUGACGGCUAUCAUGGACGCCAUUUUGAAAAUUACCAUUUUCCGAGGGACCGUUUGUCUUAGAUUUUAGCACACAUAGGAGCAUCACCAUCCAGGCUGUGUAGUAUAAAACACAACACUGGCACCAGUACAUUAAAGCACAUUUUUUUAAAUACUACACUACGAUACAGUUAAAAAAAAACUGCUAAUAAUUUACAUGGGAUAUAACCCAUCACAAACAUAUAAAGAAUGGAACUUACAAGUUUCGUUGGUGUAAUUUUCCUUGGUUUCCAGACAUC
rnacentral:lncRNA from 1 species